rnacentral:rRNA from 1 species
AGUGAACGCUGGCGGUAGGCCUAACACAUGCAAGUCGAACGGCAGCACAGUAAGAGCUUGCUCUUACGGGUGGCGAGUGGCGGACGGGUGAGGAAUACAUCGGAAUCUACUUUUUCGUGGGGGAUAACGUAGGGAAACUUACGCUAAUACCGCAUACGACCUACGGGUGAAAGCAGGGGAUCUUCGGACCUUGCGCGAUUGAAUGAGCCGAUGUCGGAUUAGCUAGUUGGCGGGGUAAAGGCCCACCAAGGCGACGAUCCGUAGCUGGUCUGAGAGGAUGGUCAGCCACACUGGAACGGAGACACGGUCCAGACUCCUACGGGAGGCAGCAGUGGGGAAUAUUGGACAAAGGGCGCAAGCCUGAUCCAGCCAUACCGCGUGGGUGAAGAAGGCCUUCGGGUUGUAAAGCCCUUUUGUGGGGAAAGAAAAGCAGCAGGUUAAUACCCCGCUGUUCUGACGGUACCCAAAGAAUAAGCACCGGCUAACUUCGUG